rnacentral:rRNA from 1 species
UACGAAGGGGACUAGCGUUGUUCGGAAUUACUGGGCGUAAAGCGCACGUAGGCGGAUUUGUUAGUCAGGGGUGAAAUCCCGGGGCUCAACCUCGGAACUGCCUUGAUACAGCAAGUCUUGAGUUCGAGAGAGGUGGGUGGAAUUCCUAGUGUAGAGGUGAAAAUUCGUAGAUAUUAGGAAGAACACCGGUGGCGAAGGCGGCCCACUGGCUCGACACUGACGCUGAGGUGCGAAAGCGUGGGGAGCAAACAGGG